UACGGGGGGGGCGAAGCGUUGUUCGGAAUUACUGGGCGUAAAGGGCUCGUAGGCGGCCAACUAAGUCAGACGUGAAAUCCCCAGGCUCAACCUGGGAACUGCGUCUGAUACUGGAUGGCUUGAAUUCGGGAGAGGGAUGCAGAAUUCCAGGUGUAGCGGUGAAAUGCGUAGAUAUCUGGAGGAAUACCGGUGGCGAAGGCGGCAUCCUGGACCGACAUUGACGCUGAUGAGCGAAAGCUAGGGGAGCAAACGGG
rnacentral:rRNA from 1 species